rnacentral:tRNA from 23 species
GGGUGAAUAGCUCAGCUGGGAGAGCGCCAGCCUUACAAGCUGGAUGUCGGGGGUUCGAUCCCCUCUUCACCCACCA